GGACAGCUGCGACCCGGAGCUCCACGGGAUGGCCUACGAGCUAGGCGGGCGGGGAGUGAUGACGUAUGAGGAUGUGGAGGUCAGCAAUUGGCUGCGCUGUGCGAAGACAGACAGACUACCCUGCCCUGCUGCGAACGUGCCACAGCUGCUUCCUCACCAUGGUCUGGAAAAGCUACCCCCUCUUCCAGGAAGAGCUCCUGUGCCGACUCAGAGAAGCCAUCUUCACUCAACCCCGCUGGUGGGAUAAGAUUCCUCUCCCUUUCCACGCGGCGAAUGUACUUUGCCUAGGCUGCAAAUAUUGACCUUAUCUGUA